rnacentral:rRNA from 1 species
CCGGCGACCGGCGCACGGGUGAGUAACACGUAUGCGACCUGCCCCCCGCCAGGGGAUAACCGGGAGAAAUCCCGACUAAUACCGCGUAACGCCGCGGACCUGCAUGGGUCUGCGGCCAAAGGAAGCGAUUCCGGCGGGGGAUGGGCAUGCGGCGCAUUAGCUAGUCGGCGGGGUAACGGCCCACCGAGGCGACGAUGCGUAGGGGUUCUGAGAGGAAGGUCCCCCACACUGGUACUGAGACACGGACCAGACUCCUACGGAAGGCAGCAG